UACGGAGGGGGCUAGCGUUGUUCGGAAUUACUGGGCGUAAAGCGCGCGUAGGCGGCUUAGCAAGUUAGAGGUGAAAGCCCGAAGCUCAACUUCGGAAUUGCCUUUAAAACUGCAAAGCUAGAAUCAUGGAGAGGUGAGUGGAAUUCCGAGUGUAGAGGUGAAAUUCGUAGAUAUUCGGAAGAACACCAGUGGCGAAGGCGACUCACCGGACAUGUAUUGACGCUGAGGUGCGAAAGCGUGGGGAGCAAACAGG
rnacentral:rRNA from 1 species